GGGGGAGCGAGACGUGGCCGGAGCGGGCGCCGAGUCACCCUUCAUCUACUUAUGAAAAUGAGAGAGAGACCGAGAGAGGCACAGACCCACACAGGCACGGGGGAAGCAGGCUCCAUGCAGGGAGCCUGACUUGGGACCGGAUCUUGGAUCCCCAGCAUCACGUCCGGGUCCGCAAAGGGCUCUCUGCAGGGAGCUUGCUUCUCCCUCUUCUUCCUCUGCUUAGGUCUCUACCUCUCUCCGUGUUUCUCAUGAAUAAAGAGAAUAUUUAAAAUCAAUAAAAUAUUUUUAUUUA